rnacentral:rRNA from 1 species
GAUGAACGCUGGCGGCGUGCUUAACACAUGCAAGUCGAACGAGAAAUGGAGACGGAAACCUUCGGGCGGAAGGCUUCAUUUCGAGUGGCGGACGGGUGAGUAACGCGUGGGUAACCUGCCUCAUACAGGGGGAUAACAGUUGGAAACGACUGUUAAUACCGCAUAAGACCACAGCACCGCAUGGUGCGGGGGUAAAAACUCCGGUGGUAUGAGAUGGACCCGCGUUCGAUUAGCCAGUUGGCGGGGUAACGGCCCACCAAAGCGACGAUCGAUAGCCGAUCUGAGAGGAUGACCGGCCACAUUGGGACUGAGACACGGCCCAACCUCCUACGGGAGGCAGCAGUGGGGAAUAUUGCACAAUGGGGGAAACCCUGAUGCAGCGACGCCGCGUGAGUGAAGAAGUACUUCGGUAUGUAAAGCUCUAUCAGCAGGGAAGAAAAUGACGGUACCUGAGUAAGAAGCCCCGGCUAACUACGUG